GGACUACUGGGGUAUCUAAUCCUGUUUGCUCCCCUUGCUCUCGCGCCUCAGCGUCAGGUAUAAACUAGAAAACCGCUUUCGCCACUGGUGUUCUUCCACAUAUCUACGCAUUUCACCGCUACACGUGGAAUUCCGUUUUCUCCGUCAACCCUCUAGAAUGAUAGUUUCAAAUGCAGCACCAAAGUUGAGCUUUGGUAUUUCACAUCUGACUUAUCUCUCCGCCUACGCGCCCUUUACGCCCAAUAAUUCCGAUUAAUGCUUGCACUCUCCGUAUUACCGCGGCUGCUGGCAC
rnacentral:rRNA from 1 species